UACGUAGGUCCCGAGCGUUGUCCGGAUUUAUUGGGCGUAAAGCGAGCGUAGGCGGACUGUCAAGUCAGCGGUAAAAUUGAGAGGCUCAACCUCUUCCCGCCGUUGAAACUGGUGGUCUUGAGUGGAUGAGAAGUACGCGGAAUGCGUGGUGUAGCGGUGAAAUGCAUAGAUAUCACGCAGAACUCCGAUUGCGAAGGCAGCGUACCGGCAUCCAACUGACGCUGAGGCACGAAAGCGUGGGGAUCAAACAGG
rnacentral:rRNA from 1 species